rnacentral:rRNA from 1 species
CCUGGCUCAGGAUGAACGCUAGCGAUAGGCUUAACACAUGCAAGUCGAGGGGCAGCACAUGAGUGGCGACACGAUGGUGGCGACCGGCGCACGGGUGAGUAACACGUAUGCGACCUGCCCGUAACUGGGGGAUAACCCGUCGAAAGGCGGACUAAUACCGCAUAAGGAUGCGAGACUGCAUGGUUUCGCAUUUAAAGAUUUAUCGGUUACGGAUGGGCAUGCGUUCCAUUAGGUAGUUGGUGGGGUAACGGCCCACCAAGCCUGCGAUGGAUAGGGGUUCUGAGAGGAAGGUCCCCCACACUGGUACUGAGACACGGACCAGACUCCUACGGGAGGCAGCAGUGAGGAAUAUUGGUCAAUGGGCGAGAGCCUGAACCAGCCAAAUCGCGUGAAGGAUGAAGGUAUUAUGUAUUGUAAACUUCUUUUGUCAGGGAAUAAAGUGC